AAGUCGAACGAGUUCUGAUUAUUGAAAGGUGCUUGCAUCUUGAUUUAAUUUUGAACGAGUGGCGGACGGGUGAGUAACACGUGGGUAACCUGCCCUUAAGUGGGGGAUAACAUUUGGAAACAGAUGCUAAUACCGCAUAAAUCCAAGAACCGCAUGGUUCUUGGCUGAAAGAUGGCGUAAGCUAUCGCUUUUGGAUGGACCCGCGGCGUAUUAGCUAGUUGGUGAGGUAACGGCUCACCAAGGCAAUGAUACGUAGCCGAACUGAGAGGUUGAUCGGCCACAUUGGGACUGAGACACGGCCCAAACUCCUACGGGAGGCAGCAGUAGGGAAUCUUCCACAAUGGACGCAAGUCUGAUGGAGCAACGCCGCGUGAGUGAAGAAGGCUUUCGGGUCGUAAAACUCUGUUGUUGGAGAAGAAUGGUCGGCAGAGUAACUGUUGUCGGCGUGACGGUAUCCAACCAGAAAGCCACGGCUAACUACGUGCCAGCAGCCGCGGUAAUACGUAGGUGGCAAGCGUUAUCCGGAUUUAUUGGGCGUAAAGCGAGCGCAGGCGGUUUUUUAAGUCUGAUGUGAAAGCCCUCGGCUUAACCGAGGAAGUGCAUCGGAAACUGGGAAACUUGAGUGCAGAAGAGGACAGUGGAACUCCAUGUGUAGCGGUGAAAUGCGUAGAUAUAUGGAAGAACACCAGUGGCGAAGGCGGCUGUCUGGUCUGUAACUGACGCUGAGGCUCGAAAGCAUGGGUAGCGAACAGGAUUAGAUACCCUGGUAGUCCAUGCCGUAAACGAUGAAUGCUAGGUGUUGGAGGGUUUCCGCCCUUCAGUGCCGCAGCUAACGCAUUAAGCAUUCCGCCUGGGGAGUACGACCGCAAGGUUGAAACUCAAAGGAAUUGACGGGGGCCCGCACAAGCGGUGGAGCAUGUGGUUUAAUUCGAAGCAACGCGAAGAACCUUACCAGGUCUUGACAUCUUUUGAUCACCUGAGAGAUCAGGUUUCCCCUUCGGGGGCAAAAUGACAGGUGGUGCAUGGUUGUCGUCAGCUCGUGUCGUGAGAUGUUGGGUUAAGUCCCGCAACGAGCGCAACCCUUAUGACUAGUUGCCAGCAUUUAGUUGGGCACUCUAGUAAGACUGCCGGUGACAAACCGGAGGAAGGUGGGGAUGACGUCAAAUCAUCAUGCCCCUUAUGACCUGGGCUACACACGUGCUACAAUGGAUGGUACAACGAGUUGCGAGACCGCGAGGUCAAGCUAAUCUCUUAAAGCCAUUCUCAGUUCGGACUGUAGGCUGCAACUCGCCUACACGAAGUCGGAAUCGCUAGUAAUCGCGGAUCAGCACGCCGCGGUGAAUACGUUCCCGGGCCUUGUACACACCGCCCGUCACACCAUGAGAGUUUGUAACACCCGAAGCCGGUGGCGUAACCCUUUUAGGGAGCGAGCCGUCUAA
rnacentral:rRNA from 1 species